rnacentral:rRNA from 1 species
GGGAUUGCCUCAGUAACGGCGAGUGAAGCGGCAACUCAAAUUUGAAAUCUGGCCCCGGGUCCGAGUUGUAAUUUGCAGAGACGGCUUCGGGCGAGACCACGGUCUAAGUCCAUUGGAACAUGGCGUCCGAGAGGGUGAGAAUCCCGUAUGCGACCGUGACCUCGCCCGCGUGAAGCCUCUUCGACGAGUCGAGUUGUUUGGGAAUGCAGCUCAAAUGGGUGGUAAAUUUCAUCUAAAGCUAAAUACCGGCUGGAGACCGAUAGCGCACAAGUAGAGUGAUCGAAAGAUGAAAAGCACUUUGAAAAGAGAGUCAAACAGUACGUGAAAUUGUUGAAAGGGAAGCGCUUGCAACCAGACCUGCCCGUGGGCGAUCAGUCGCUGUUCUCAGCGAUGCACUCGCUCCACGAUCAGGCCAGCAUCGGUUUCGGCGGUCGGACAACGGCCGGGGAACGUAGCUCCCUCUGGGGGAGUGUUACAGCCCUCGGCGCAAUGCGGCCCGCCGGGACCGAGGACCGCGCUUCGGCUAGGAUGCUGGCGUAAUGGUUGUCAGCGACCCGUCUUGAAACACGGACCAAGGAGUCUAACAUCUAUGCGAGUGUUUGGGUGUCAAACCCACGCGCGGAAUGAAAGUGAACGGAGGUGAGACCCCUCGAGGGUGCAUCAUCGACCGAUCCAGAUGUCUUCGGAUGGAUUUGAGUAUGAGCAUCUGUUGGGACCCGAAAGAUGGUGAACUAUGCCUGAAUAGGGUGAAGCCAGAGGAAAGGUGGAGGCUCGCAGCGGUUCUGACGUGCAUCGAUCGUCAAAUUU